GCCUAGUUCCUUAUAAUAAAUUCACAAGGUAAAAAUUAUAUACAAAUAAAUAUACUAAUUCUAUCAUUAUUACAAAAAUUUUAAAAUUAAAUUUAUAAUCUUAAUAAAAAACCUAAAAUAAUUAUAAAAUCAAAAAUAAAAAUAAUGAACUAAAACGUAAUCUUAAAGAUAGCUGGUUUAAAGCUUACUAUUAUAUUCUAAUAAAACAAAUUAUAGGUUAUUAACUCCAAAGCUUAUCCCUUAGAGAAUAAAUAAGUUAAUAUUUAUACCUAAAAAAUUAAAUAAAAACAAUUAACUUCAAAAAAUUAAAUUUUUUCUUAAGAAACUAGAUAUCUUGGGAAACGAUUAACAUCUCAUUUCUAUAAAUAAUUUAAUAAUAAUUAUGAUACAUUAACUAUAAAUUAUUUAUAAAUCAACCCAAAUCGAGAUAAGUAAGUAAAUACUAAAAUUUUGAUAAACCCUGAUACAAAAGGUACAACAAAUAAAAUCUACUUUUAAAAAUUCAAAAUAAUAUUUCAUAAAACAAUUACAUUACCAAUAAACUAUAGUCUAAAAAAUCAAUUCUACAAAAUAUACUAAGACAAAAUUCAACAAAAUUAUUUCUAUUA
rnacentral:rRNA from 1 species